ensembl:misc_RNA Metazoa_SRP Metazoan signal recognition particle RNA
GCCAGGUGUGGUGGUGGGCACCUGUAGUCCUGGCUACUCAGGAGGCUGAGACAGGAGAAUUGCUUGAGCCCGGGAGGCAGAGGCUGCAGUGUGCUGAAAUCAUGCCACUGCAUUCCAGCCCGGGCGACAGAGUGAGACUCUGUCUCCA